rnacentral:lncRNA from 1 species
CUUCCUUUGCUCCCGUGAAGCUGGUUCUAUGGAAAGACAUUGGGUUAUCCCUCCCAGUUAAAAAUGUUGCUCCCUCCACUUAGAAGACUAAGGAAGAACCAGAGUGAAGGAAGCCCCAUGGGCAGGAAGAGGACUCAUUUGGGCUCAAGACAUUCAGUCCAACCUAGCUCACAAGGAUGGAUGAGAUCAUGAUUCGGGACCAUAACUUGUCACUUGUGCACAUACUCUAAACGGUGGCGUUUUUCAAGGAGUGGGCAUGUGGCCUAUUUCUGGCCCUAUGAAGCAAAAGGAGAGGUCUGCUGGGAGACUUCCUGAAACUGCUCUUCCUGGAAGGAGGGAAACAAACAAAACAACAACAAAAGAACUUUACAAGAGAAAGCUUUUUAUCCCAGCCCCUUCCUACUCCCAUUGAAUGCAGCUCUGUGAGGACACGAUAUUUGAAGCUGCAGUAGCUGAGGUGGCAAAAGAUGGCAGAACAGAAGAGCAGACAGAAUCUGGGUCCUAGAUGACUUCAUUGCACUGCUGCAACUGCCUUCUCCAGACCUCUUGCCAGAUCAAGCUGCAGAGGAAACAGCCACCUGGGGCGUGUUCUUACGUUGCCUGGAAGCUGCACAAGAGGCCAAGUCAAAACAUGCAGAAUUCCAGUUGCCCAUGAUGUCACAGGCUGAGGCCCACACUCCAGAGACACUGUGGACUGACUGGCACCUAUGAGCUGACCUAAUAACAGUUACACCAUUACAGCUCCGAUUCUACAGAACAAUACAUAUCCAGUUCUUAUCUAUGCUUUGCAUGUGCUCUUUGAAACACAACCCUUCCCUAAACAGAAUUCUCUACCUGUUACCAUAUCUAGAGUGUAGGGCUCAGGGAAGACAGUAAAGGACACAGACUCUGAGAAAUGAACAUGAACUAGGGCUUAGAUGAAUAAAUGGAGCUACAACAAUAGUUAUAUUUUAGUGCAACUUCUGAAAAUUAAACUAAAGGAUCCACGGGUGUGGAAGACACAAUACCAGGGUGUGAGUCAGGGGAUGAGUGCUCAAGAAUGUUCUGUGUUUCCCAAAUCCACUAUAUGAAUGGCACGACCACUUUCCCAGGCAACUCAGUCUAAAACACUAGUUAGUUCUAACUUCUCACCUCCACGCAGUCACUUCCUAAUCCCACCUCUACGGCCUCUUUUAUUAUGCCUCUCUUUUCCCCUCGCCUUCCCCUUGUCAAGCUUUCCUCCCUGCCACACUCUAGUUCCUCCUCAGCACCUCCAAGCCAGCUGAUUGCAACAGGCUCCUAACAGAGCUUCUGACCUCCAGAAUGAGCAACACAAGCCAAAAGAUCUAGGUCCAAUUCUCGUCCCAACACUCACUAAUUUGAUCAAUUUGUAUAAAAAAAUCAUUUAUCUCUCUGAGCCUAUUUUAUUUCUCUGUGAAACAGGAAAAUAAAAGAUACUUCAACCAGGCGCGGUGGCUCACACCGGUAAUCCCACCACUUUGGGACGCCGAGGCAGGCGGAUCACGAGGUCAGGAGAUCGAGACCAUCCUGGCAAACAUGGUGAAACGCCAUCUCUACUAAAAAUACAAUAAUUAGCUGGGUGUGGUGGCACGUGCCUGUAAUCCCAGCUACUCAGGAGGCUGAGGCAGGAGAAUCGCUUGAACCAGGUAGUCGGAGGUUGCAGUGAGCCAGAUUAUGCCACUGCACUCCAGCCUGGCAACACAGUGAGACUGUGACGAUGAAGAGACAACAGCUAUGAUAGCCCUUUGUCAGGCAUAGGACACUGUGCAAAUGAUGGUGAUGUUUUACUUGAUCAGCAUCCAUCUGAUACUCUGAAGCAUAAGUCAGAACAUGGCACUCUUUUCUGUAAAACUAUUCAAUGAUUCCCCCAUGACUGUAGAAUAAAGUCCAAAUUAUUUGCCAAGAUUCUUCACAAUCCAGUUCCAACUAUCUUCCCAGCUGCAUUUUUGCUCCUCACACUGUCUAACUCAACCAUCAAGAAUUAGCUCAAAAGGUACCUCUUCCAAAACCCAACCCUGACCUUUCCAACCAGAAAGAAUCUCUUUUUUUCCCCUCAAGUACUGGGGCCCUUUCUAUGAACUUUUCCUCCAGGGCAUUCAUUUGUCACUUUCUACUUCAGACUCAUCUAUUUAUAGCUACCGCUUAUUAAGGCCAUACUACAUAUCCCAAUGUUGUGCUAGACCCUUGCAUCUAUUUCUUCUGAACAAAAUAGCAACUCUCAAAAUAGCAAUGGAAUUAAUCCCAUUUAGUUGACAAAACUGAUGCUACCAAGUUGCAAGAGGAAAUUCAAGGACAAGGAUAAAUUUCAAAGCUCAUGUUUUUCUAUGAUGCCUGUUGUCUUCCAUGGCCUUGUUUAUGGUCCUUGACUUACGAUCUGAUUGGACUCUUGAAUCCUUUUUUAGUAGAUUCAGUCUGAUUUAUCUUUGGUAUCCCUCACAGACCCAGCACAGAACUAUGCAUAGAAGAUGCUCAAUGCUUGUUAAGCAAAUAAUUGGCUUCUUUUGACCUCUAUGGGUCUCAGGUCCUCAGCUAUAAAAUUGGUAGUAUCAAAGAGCUGGUCAUAUACUGUGUAGAGAUCGACUUAUUUGUAAAUGUUUCCAGAACACUUAUGUGCCAGGCACUGUUCUAAGCAUCUCAUCUAUCGAUCCUCAUAAAAAGCCUCCAAGAAGUAUGACUAUUAAGCCCAUUUUAUACUUUAGAAAACUAAGUUUUUAAGCAGGGUGGCAAAACUUGAACCCAGGCAGACUGUGUCCAGAACCCACAUUCUCAACCAAUAUGCACUACUGCCUACAUAAAUUUGGAGCCCAGGAAAAUCAACUGAAAAACCAUUAGAAAUGGCAAUAGACUCAAAACAUGGUUGGUACCAGAAUUAAUAUGUAAAAAUAAUAUAUAAUAUACAUAGCAAGUAUAUAUACACAUGUACUAUAUAUAUGCAUUACAUAUCCAUAUCUGUAUCUAUAUUAUCUAUAUUAUAAUGACUGCUUUCAUGUACAUGAUCACCAAUGAACUAAGGGAGUAAAAGAUCCCAGUCAAAAGGGAAAAAAAUAAGCAACUCAAAUAUCUAGAAAUAAAUUUCAGAAAUAUGCAGAAUAUACACACAUACUACAAAAUUCUACCAAAGGGUAAUUAAAAAGUCAUUAAUAAACAGAAAAAUAAUGCUUAGGUGGAAAGACUUGGUAAUAGAGCUCCCUUUCUCCAUAAUUAAUCUCUAUAUUUAACAUCUGAAUUUAAUUUACUUCGAGGGAGUGUCACAGUUCAACAACUAGGCACUUUAAUAUAAAUUGGUGCAAUCUUUGGAGGAAAUGUUGGGGUGUUGGGGCAGUAUCUAUAAAAAUUUUAUAAGUGCAUCCCCUUUGACAUAACGAUCCUACUUCUAGGAAUCUACUCUGCAGAAAUGCCAACACAUGCUACCAAAGAUGGAUAAGAAAUGUUGAGUGCUGUUUUGUAUGCAGUAGGAAGAAAAAGAGAAAGAGGGGCAGAGGAACAAAGGGAGAAAGGGAAGAAAGGAAGGAAGGAAGAAAAAGGAAAGAAGACAGAAAGAGAGAAGGAGAGAGUGAGGAAGAGGGUGGGAGGGUGGAAGGAAGAAAGGAAGAACUGCAGGCAAAUGAAAUGCCUAGCAAAGGGAACAGAUUUUUAGAGAAUCAUAAAAGGGUAUGCUGUGGAAAUGUUAAGAAGAGAAAGGUUUAAAUAUGUUGACAUAAAAGAAAUCUUAGCUAGGUUUGUGCUUUGGACUGAAUGUUUGUCCUCCUCCUGCCCAGCCAAAAUUCGUGUUAUAAAUCCUAAUCUCCAAUAUGAUGGUAUUUGGAGAUGGGGUCUUUGGAAGGUAAUCAGGUCAUAAGGGUGCAGACCUCAGUAAUGCAUGUUCUUUAUUAGUGUCCUUAUAAGAAAAGACAGGAGAGAUCACUUCUCUUCUCUGCUUUCUCACAUGUAAACCGGAAAGAGAGCCCUCACCAAAACUUGACCAUGCUGGCACCCUGAUCUGGAACUUCCAGCUUUCAGAAUUUUGAGAGAUAAAUGUGUCUGUUGUUUAAGCCACCUAGUCUUUGAGAAUGUGUUACAGCAGCUCAAGUAGACUAAGACCAGAAGGGAGAAAUGCAAACUAUAUCAGUGCAAAUUACAGAAAAAUGUACAGAGAUAUGACCAUUUUAUUUUUAAUGUGGAGUAUAAUUUAGUGAAGGAGAAAAGAAGGGUAUGGGGAUGGCAAUUUCCUGUUUUGAUAUCUACACUUCUGCAAAGAUCAUUACUUUUAUAAUCAUAAUUAAGCAUUUGAUUCAACACUGAGUCUUGUGUUAGACACUGGGAAGGUGAACAUGACAGUCAGGGCACCUGUUAAGUCCAUUUUUAAAUUUGUGAUUUAAGUUGCUAUAGCUAUAAUAAAUUAAAUG